AUUGAACGCUGGCGGCAGGCCUAACACAUGCAAGUCGAGCGAGCGGCGGACGGGUGAGUAAUGUCUGGGACACUGCCUGAUGGAGGGGGAUAACUACUGGAAACGGUAGCUAAUACCGCAUACCAUCAGAUGUGCCCAGAUGGGCUUAGCUAGUAGGUGGGGUAACGGCUCACCUAGGCGACGAGCCCUAGCUGGUCUGAGAGGAUGACCAGCCACACUGGAACGGGGACACGGUCCAGACUCCUACGGGAGGAAGCAGUGGGGAAUAUUGGACAAGGGGGGAAAGCCUGAUCCAGCCAUGCGGCGGGUGGGAAGAAGGUCUUCGGAUGGUAAAGCACGUUAAGAUGGAAGGCGUUACCAACAGAAUAAGCACCGGCUAACUUCGUGCCAGCAGCCGCGGUAAUAC
rnacentral:rRNA from 1 species